UAGCUAGUUGGUGAGGUAAAGGCUCACCAAGGCGACGAUCUGUAGCGGGUCUGAGAGGAUGAUCCGCCACACUGGAACUGAGACACGGUCCAGACUCCUACGGGAGGCAGCAGUGGGGAAUUUUGGACAAUGGGCGCAAGCCUGAUCCAGCCAUGCCGCGUGAGUGAAGAAGGCCUUCGGGUUGUAAAGCUCUUUCGGCCGGGAAGAAAUCGCAUGGGUUAAUACCCUGUGCGGAUGACGGUACCGGCAUAAGAAGCACCGGCUAACUACGUGCCAGCAGCCGCGGUAAUACGUAGGGUGCGAGCGUUAAUCGGAAUUACUGGGCGUAAAGCGUGCGCAGGCGGUUUGUUAAGAUAGGCGUGAAAUCCCCGGGCUCAACCUGGGAACUGCGCUUAUGACUGGCAAGCUAGAGUACGGCAGAGGGGGGUGGAAUUCCACGUGUAGCAGUGAAAUGCGUAGAGAUGUGGAGGAACACCAAUGGCGAAGGCAGCCCCCUGGGUCGAUACUGACGCUCAUGCACGAAAGCGUGGGUAGCAAACAGGAUUAGAUACCCUGGUAGUCCACGCCCUAAACGAUGUCAACUAGGUGUUGGGAGGGUAAAACCUUUUAGUACCGGAGCUAACGCGUGAAGUUGACCGCCUGGGGAGUACGGCCGCAAGGUUAAAACUCAAAGGAAUUGACGGGGACCCGCACAAGCGGUGGAUGAUGUGGAUUAAUUCGAUGCAACGCGAAAAACCUUACCUACCCUUGACAUGUCCAGGAUCCCGGAGAGAUUUGGGAGUGCCCGAAAGGGAACUGGAACACAGGUGCUGCAUGGCCGUCGUCAGCUCGUGUCGUGAGAUGUUGGGUUAAGUCCCGCAACGAGCGCAACCCUUGUCGUUAAUUGCCAUCAUUUAGUUGGGCACUUUAACGAGACUGCCGGUGACAAACCGGAGGAAGGUGGGGAUGACGUCAAGUCCUCAUGGCCCUUAUGGGUAGGGCUUCACACGUCAUACAAUGGUCGGUACAAAGGGUUGCCAAGCCGCGAGGUGGAGCCAAUCCCAGAAAGCCGAUCGUAGUCCGGAUUGCAGGCUGCAACUCGCCUGCAUGAAGUCGGAAUCGCUAGUAAUCGUGGAUCAGCAUGUCACGGUGAAUACGUUCCCGGGUCUUGUACACACCGCCCGUCACACCAUGGGAGCGGGUUCCGCCAGAAGUAGGUAGCCUAACCGCAAGGGGGGCGCUUACCACGGCGGGGUUCGUGACUGGGGUGAAGUCGUAACAAGGUAGCCGUAGGGGAUCCUGCGGCUG
rnacentral:rRNA from 1 species